UACGUAGGGUGCAAGCGUUAAUCGGAAUUACUGGGCGUAAAGCGUGCGCAGGCGGUUGUGCAAGACAGAUGUGAAAUCCCCGGGCUUAACCUGGGAAUUGCAUUUGUGACUGCACGGCUAGAGUGUGUCAGGGGGGGGUAGAAUUCCACGUGUAGCAGUGAAAUGCGUAGAUAUGUGGAGGAAUACCGAUGGCGAAGGCAGCCCCCUGGGAUAACACUGACGCUCAUGCACGAAAGCGUGGGGAGCAAACAGG
rnacentral:rRNA from 1 species